rnacentral:rRNA from 1 species
GAGUUUGAUCAUGGCUCAGGAUGAACGCUGGCGGCGUGCCUGAUACAUGCAAGUCGUGCGGCAACGAGUUUGCACUUGUUGUUCGAUCGAGCUAACUAUUUAGUUCAGUGAAUCGAAUGAUGAGUGCAAAAUGUCGGCGAGCGGCGGACGGCUGAGUAACGCGUAGGAACGUACCCCAAAGUGAGGGAUAAGCCCCAGAAAUGGAGUCUAAUACCGCAUAUGGUCUUCGGAUUAAAGCUUUUAGCGCUUUGGGAGCGGCCUGCGUUCGAUUAGCUUGUUGGUAAGGUAAUGGCUUACCAAGGCGACGAUCGAUAGCUGGUCUGAGAGGAUGAUCAGCCAGACUGGAACUGAGAUACGGUCCAGACUCCUACGGGAGGCAGCAGUAAGGAAUCUUCCACAAUGGGCGAAAGCCUGAUGGAGCAACGCCGCGUGCAGGAUGAAGGCCUUCGGUCGUAACUGCUUUAUGUGCGAUGAAUUGACAGUAACACAUAG